rnacentral:lncRNA from 1 species
GGACAAGAAUGACACUAUCGUCAGUCAACCGACAAUUACGGAGUCCCAAUACAUUUGAAAAUGUAGCUCUAUUUGUAUUAAAAGAAUCAUUUACAUUCCUUUAUUUCUGUCCUUAAAUAAUGUGGUACUAAUUCUUGCCGAUAGACAGUAGGCCAUUGAUAUUGAAUAAAAGGAGAUGACUGAUCCAUUAACAGAUCCAAAUUAAGAUGCAGUGUACGAAAAAGAUCCUGCAAUUAUCUCAAUGGUCAUUCUCCUUUGCACAC